rnacentral:rRNA from 1 species
GAUGAACGCUGGCGGCGUGCCUAAUACAUGCAAGUCGAGCGAACGGACGAGAAGCUUGCUUUUCUGAUGUUAGCGGCGGACGGGUGAGUAACACGUGGAUAACCUACCUAUAAGACUGGGAUAACCUCGGGAAACCGGAGCUAAUACCGGAUAAUAUUUUGAACCGCAUGGUUCAAAAGUGAAAGACGGUCUUGCUGUCACUUAUAGAUGGAUCCGCGCUGCAUUAGCUAGUUGGUAAGGUAACGGCUUACCAAGGCAACGAUGCAUAGCCGACCUGAGAGGGUGAUCGGCCACACUGGAACUGAGACACGGUCCAGACUCCUACGGGAGGCAGCAGUAGGGAAUCUUCCGCAAUGGGCGAAAGCCUGACGGAGCAACGCCGCGUGAGUGAUGAAGGUCUUCGGAUCGUAAAACUCUGUUAUUAGGGAAGAACAUAUGUGUAAGUAACUGUGCACAUCUUGACGGUACCUAAUCAGAAAGCCACGGCUAACUACGUG